rnacentral:rRNA from 1 species
CAGUAGCCACGGGAAUACGAAGGGUGCAAGCGUUAAUCGGAAUUACUGGGCGUAAAGCGCGCGUAGGUGGUUCAUUAAGUUGGAUGUGAAAUCCCUGAGCUUAACUUAGGAAUUGCAUUCGAUACUGGGAAGCUAGAGUAUGGGAGAGGAUGGUAGAAUUCCAGGUGUAGCGGUGAAAUGCGUAGAGAUCUGGAGGAAUACCGAUGGCGAAGGCAGCCAUCUGGCCUAAUACUGACGCUGAGGUACGAAAGCAUGGGGAGCAAACAGGAUUAGAUACCCGCGUAGUCCCUGUCUCUUAUAC